GCAUAGCUCCGUCGGUAGAGCGCGGGGCUCUUAACCUCAGGGUUUUGGGUUCGAGACCCACGUGAGGCA